UUUAGCCAACAUUGGCUAUGAGAGGGAGUGCCUCAGACAGCCUACGCUGGAUCCGCGCCGCGCUCACGCACGCGCACAUGGUGUGUGUGUGUGUGUGUGUGUGUGUGUGUGUGUGUGUGUGUGUGUGUGUGUGUUGUGGUGCACUCAGAGACAAGCAACGUGGGAGCUGCUAAGCUCGGAAUACCCACAGGACAACAGGCGAUGUCAGCAAGCGUAAAGGAGGGAUGUAACACCAGGAGUCAGAACGCACAGGAAGCAACCCUUGCUCUGUGGUGAGCGCCCACGCUUGUCCUGAGCCGGUUUCCCUUCUGCAUCCACCAAGUGCGCUCUGACUACAAAUCCAGGACAGGUGGAUCCCUACAGCAAAGCUUCUUGUAUCUCAUUGCUCUAACUAGAUAAACGCGCCCUCUAGGCAGAGAGUCUUUUUCCAAGCGAGCGACCUUCUGGACUCCUGACGCAACAAGCUGACUCUAGGAGGAGGCUGGUAGGAAUCCCUAAUUCGGCAAGUGUGACGUUAAGAUGUACACGUGACUUCCCAGACACGCGUACGCACUCACGCAGGAACCAGGGCAGCAUCAGCCCGCCACCUUCUUCCGGGAAAGAAACAGCAGCUUUCCUAGAAAAGACACUAGGGCGUCCCCAUAGGUCCAUUCUGGAAGCCCUGAGGCCACUCAAGUCCCAUCAGCAUUCCCAAGGGAACACGGCCUUGAAGACUUUUGCAGGGAGGCCUGAGCGGAGACAAUUGCGGACAUCCCAGGAAGGAGACCUGCACCCGCCCUGCAUUGCGAGCACUCUGCCACCAAGACUGCCAAUCAGAGCGCCAGCCAAUGUGAGCUGCGGACGGUUGUCAUGGGAACAGGAUCAGACAGUCUCUUAGGGUUUGAGUCUGCCUGUGCCUAGCCCCUGGGAUCUCAUCGCCCAACAACUUACAUUGUUGCCACACCAACCCCAGUAGAAUCUGUGUGACAAGUUCCACAAACUGAGGCUAAAGCUUCAAAAGAAGGAGGCUUCCUGGAACCAGUUGUGGAAUUCUUGGCCGGAGCAAAAUAUUGAGCCGUAGUUCUCAUGGCAAUUUAUCUGUUUUAUCUUCUUCUAUUCCUUUCUUAUUUACAAGAUGCUCCUGAUAGCCUAGGAUGAGAUUUUAAUCGAGAAACUGGAUAAGAAACCAUCCCUUGAGAUGGGGUCACUAGCCAUGACCUUAUCUCCCAGAAAACAUAAAUCAUUUACAAAAUUACAAAAUAGUAUUAUGAUAGAUUCAAAACUUUCCCAACAACAAAAUUUCACGUGGCUACGUGUGUGUUGUCAGAAGUGGGCUUUGGUAUAUGGUAAAGAAAGACUUAAAUAAAAAAGAAUUAAAAUAGAAUUUAAAAUUCACACCUUGAAGAUUCACAAAAAAAAAAAAAAUCAGGUACUAGAUGUUAAAUAAUAACUGACCAUAAAAUGUAUUAACCCGCUCUUGGAAAUAUGCCAUUAGCCUCGGAUGAUUUUGUGCUUUGCUGUGCCAAAUAACAAUGAUGUUAUCUGUCCAAUCCGUGAUUGCCCCACUAAACACAUCUUCUAAGAGUUGUAAUACUUAUUUCAUUAUGCAUAAAAAUCCUUGCUUGAGAGCUAAAAAAUACACUCAGAUUCAAACUG